CAGGGGUACAACCUAUUUUCCAGCCUUGGCCCCUUCUUCUUUGCUGACCCAGCUAAGUCAGAAACCAGAUAAAUUCCUGAUUUAAUCCUGAGAAGAAAAGAAGAAUCAGCUUUUGAAAGGGAUCUUCUUUUAUCCUUUGCAUAGGUUAGGAGGAGACCAACCAGGAUGGUGAAAUAGUUUAACCUCAAAUCAAAUAGUAAUAAUACAAAAAAAUCAUGGAUAGUAUUUAAUCUAAAAUAAGGAAAUUCCAUAUGUCCUCCAAAAAAAAGUUUUUGGCUUCAAGAAUGAAAAUAAAAGAAGCAUAUUUGUCUCAAUCCAAAUACAGACACCAGAAAGACAAACUGGGACUAUACAAUGAAGUAGCUUGCAGGAUAAUACACAGAAAAAUGUAAUCAUGCAUAAAUCAUGUGCAAAGUAGAAACCACAAAUUGUGUAUUUGGCAAGACUUCGAUUCCUUUGCAUAAUUCUUUCAUUUUCAUCUUGCUACUUCCAUUCUCUUCUCAUAGAAAUAGCUACAUAAAACAAAGACAUAAACUGUGUGCAAUUAAAAUGGGAAAAUAGCUGAAAGGAAUGUAUUGAUAAUUAUGUUAAAAUCUAUACCGUAAGGAUUCUUGCAUUGUUAGGCAUCUAAUUUGUCAUCUGUUGACAUCAGCAUCUCAGUUCUCCAUAACAUCUGAAGCUUUGUUUUAGGCAACUUCUUGCAGAGUGAGCAAACUUUACAUACCGUUGAGUCGACAAAAGUAUAACUAUAUCCUACAGAAAGAGACUUAAGUAAACCUCCAGCAGUCAUAUAGAUUUCUCGGUGGACGGGACCAUCACUGAAUGACAGAGCUGGGGACAUAGUUUCUCUAGACUGAAGCAGGUGCUAAAAUGGUACUCUCACAUGCAGGUUGGCAAUGGUUGACUAGAAGGAGAGACACUUAGAGCAGUUCUUGUGUAUGGAGUUCUGUUUUGUCUUCAUAACCAUGGGUGAAAUGAGUUUGUUUGGGGAGGGAGAGUGAAGUGUCUUUAUAUACAAGGAAGGCUCUGGUCACCCACAACAGGCUUAGGGACACUCGUUAUAACCCCCAGGAUCUUUUCUCUUAAUUAUCAUCACCUCAUCCAUGAAGUUCAGACAUGCAUGAUUUCUCCUUUCUUUCACAAUCUAUUAAAAAAUAUUAAAGCUCUAAAUCUCAUUUCCACUGAAGUUUAAAUGUUGCAUUGUAACAUAAGAUAAAACUUUGCUCCGAUGUUAAAAAUAUUAAAGUGAGAAGCAAUAUGGCAUAAUACUAAUGAGAAGAACUAUACAGUUCUUCCUGAAUGCAAAUCAGUGUUCAUCCAGGUUAAGCAAACUUUUUGUACCUCAAUUUCCCUACUUAUAUAAUUUAAUAACAAUAGCACCAACCUAUAUACUAUUAUCAAGUAUUAAAUUAGAUAACACAUAAAAUCACUUAGUAAAGUAUCUGACUAGUUACCAUUUUUAUAUUUUCAUUGAAAAGAAUAAAGAAAAGUAGAAGAAAUAAGAAAGAAAAGGAAGAAACAAUAGGAAAGGAGUGGUAAAUCUAGUAUGUCAAGGCACAUACUAAUGUAGGAAACAUUUUUUUUAUAGUUCUUAACAUAGGCCAGACUCUGUGUUCAAUGCUUCUAAACCUCAUUCUUGUUCUUUGAAAUGCAUAAUUUUAUCUCCAUUGAAAAGAUGAGAAACUGGAGACUAGUUCAUGAAGUAUUACACUUCUAGUAAAUGACAAAAUUUGAACAGGACAAUAGAAGCUGAAUUCUUAAUAAUUAUAUUUUAUUUUAAAAAUAGAUUUUAACUUCUCAAAUAUUAAUAAAGCAAAUCAAAAUGACAGUCAUU
rnacentral:lncRNA from 1 species